GACGAACGCUGGCGGCGUGCUUAACACAUGCAAGUCGAACGGUGAAGCGCUUGCCUUUUUGGUGGGUGUGGAUGAGUGGCGAACGGGUGAGUAACACGUGAGUAACCUGCCCUCUUCUUCUGGAUAACCUCAUGAAAGUGGGGCUAAUACGGGGUAUUCCGGGUCUGUCGCAUGGCGGGUUUAGGAAAGAUUGCGCCUUUGGGUGUUUUCGGUGGGGGAUGGGCUCGCGGCCUAUCAGCUUGGUGGUGGGGUGAUGGCCUACCAAGGCGGUGACGGGUAGCCGGCCUGAGAGGGUGGACGGCCACACUGGGACUGAGACACGGCCCAGACUCCUGCGGGAGGCAGCAGUGGGGAAUAGUGCACAAUGGGCGCAAGCCUGAUGCAGCGACGCCGCGUGAGGGAUGGAGGCCUGCGGGUUGUGAACCCCUUUCGCCAGUGAAGCAGGCCUGCCUCGUGUGUGGGUGGGUUGACGGUAGCUGGAUAAGAAGCGCCGGCUAACUACGUG
rnacentral:rRNA from 1 species